GGCGUUUCCGUUGUCGGCGUCUGGCUGGAGGCCUUAUGUUCUGUUGGUGUAUAGGUCAGAGUUCCAAAGGGAGAAAUGCUUCUACCUGGAGAAACAACAAUGAUUCUAUUGAAGUGUAAGUUAAGACUGCCACCUGGUCACUUGGGCUCCUCGUGCCUCUGAAUUAACAGGCAAACAAGGGAGUUACUGUGCUGGCUGUGGUGAUUGACAUUGAUGAUCCAAGGAGAAACUGGACUACUACUCUACAAUGAAGGAAGACGAAGAAGGAGAGUGAACACUUCUCUUUAAGGCCAUGCUGUGGAAGUCGCACACAUCACUUCUACUAAUAUCCCAUUGACCACAACAUGGUCAUAUGAUCUCAACUACCUGGAAGGGGUUCUUGCAAGUGUAAUCUUUAUCUGGGAAGCCAUGUGUCCAACUAAGAAUAUUAUUGCUGUGGAAGAAGAGGAGAAUAGAUUUGAGGAAAAUAACCAUAUGAGGAGCCAUUUUCAAACAGCCAAAAUUGUAUGAGGUACAGAAGGUGACAGAUAUUCUAAUGGCACAUUUUCUCUGAAUGUCCCACUGAUGAAAGCAGGAAUUCUUGCCCUGUUUAAGAAGCUCCGGGAUAUUUUUCACCUGUAUAUGCUGUGAGGAGCAAGGUAGAGCUGCCAGAAAUAAAACUCACAGAAGUGUAGGAUCCUUCAUAUGACCAAGUCUCCCUGGAGUUUUUAACUCUCCUGAGUUGUCCACACUGAGCUUCCAGCGGUUUGUCAAUUAUAGUUUAGGUUUUCUUACCUUGCCACUGGUUCCUGCAGAGGUAUCUGGUUGUGAAUUUCUGCCCAGCUCCCUGGUACAUAGUUGUAUAUUCUUCGUUGUGGGUCCUUCUAGUUGUGGCAUGUGGGACGCUGCCGCAGCAUGGUUUGAUGAGCAAUGCCAUGUCCAUGCCAGGAUUUGAACCAACGAAGCACUGGGCCGCCUGCUGCUGAGCGCACAAACUUAACCACUCAGCCACGGGGCCAGCCCCCUAAUGUGACUUUCUGGUAGACAGCAUGUCAUGUUAUAAAUCCAUUUUGCCAAUCUCUGUCUUUUAAUUGGAGAUACUUAUCUGUUUACAUUUAAAGGAAUUUCUAAUAAGGGAGGAAUUAACUAUGCCAUUUCACUGUUUAAUAAAAUAGAUCAUCUUUUUUGUUCAAGAACUCAUCUCCUAUGGUUUCC
rnacentral:lncRNA from 1 species